GACGAACGCUGGCGGCGUGCUUAACACAUGCAAGUCGAGCGGUAAGGCCCUUUCGGGGGUACGACGAGCGGCGAACGGGUGAGUAACACGUGGGUGACCUGCCCUCAGCUCUGGGAUAAGCCUGGGAAACCGGGUCUAAUACUGGAUAUGACUCCAUGACGCAUGUUGUGGGGUGGAAAGCCUUGUGCGGCUGAGGAUGGGCCCGCGGCCUAUCAGCUUGUUGGUGGGGUGANGGCCUACCAAGGCGACGACGGGUAGCCGGCCUGAGAGGGCGACCGGCCACACUGGGACUGAGACACGGCCCAGACUCCUACGGGAGGCAGCAGUGGGGAAUCUCGCGCAAUGGGCGAAAGCCUGACGCAGCGACGCCGCGUGAGGGAUGACGGCCU
rnacentral:rRNA from 1 species